rnacentral:rRNA from 1 species
UACGUAGGGUGCGAGCGUUAAUCAGAAUUACUGGGCGUAAAGCGUGCGCAGGCGGUUCGUUAUGUCCGUUGUGAAAGCCCCGGGCUCAACCUGGGAACUGCGCUUGUUACUGGCAGGCUUGAGUGUGGCAGAGGGGGGUGGAAUUCCACGUGUAGCAGUGAAAUGCGUAGAGAUGUGGAGGAACACCGAUGGCGAAGGCAGCCCCCUGGGCUAACACUGACGCUCAUGCACGAAAGCGUGGGGAGCAAACAGG